GAUGAACGCUGGCGGCGUGCCUAAUACAUGCAAGUCGAGCGAACGGACGAGAAGCUUGCUUCUCUGAUGUUAGCGGCGGACGGGUGAGUAACACGUGGAUAACCUACCUAUAAGACUGGGAUAACUUCGGGACACCGGAGCUAAUACCGGAUAAUAUUUUGAACCGCAUGGUUCAAAAGUGAAAGACGCUAUUGCUGUCACUUAUAGAUGGAUCCGCGCUGCAUUAGCUAGUUGGUAAGGUAACGGCUUACCAAGGCAACGAUGCAUAGCCGACCUGAGAGGGUGAGCGGCCACACUGGAACUGAGACAGGGUCCAGACUCCGACGUGAGGCAGCAGUAGGGAAUCGUCCGCAAUGGGCGAAAGCCUGACGGAGCAACGCCGCGUGAGUGAUGAAGGUCUUCGGAGCGUAAAACUCUGUGAUUAGGGAAGAACAUAUGUUUAAGUAACUGUGCACAUCUUGACGGUACCUAAGCAGAAAGCCACGGCUAACUACGGG
rnacentral:rRNA from 1 species